CCCUUAGAUGUUCUGGGCCGCACGCGCGCUACACUGAGUACUUCAUCGAGCUUACAACCUUGACUGAUAGGUCUGGGUAAUCUUCUCAAAGGUACUCGUGCUGGGGAUAGAUUAUUGUAAUUUUUAAUCUUAAACGAGGAAUUCCUAGUAAACGCAAGUCAACAGCUUGCAUUGAUUACGUCCCUGCCCUUUGUACACACCGCCCGUCGCUACUACCGAUUGAAUGGCUUAGUGAGCCCGAGGGACUGCUGCAGUUAGAGGGGUUUCCCUCUUUCAGCAUCCGGGAACUCGGUCAAACUUGAUCAUUUAGAGGAAGUAAAANUCGUANCA
rnacentral:rRNA from 1 species